rnacentral:rRNA from 1 species
AUUAUGGGGGACAACUCGAGGAAACUCGAGCUAAUACCGCAUACGCCUCGGGGGAAAGCGGAGGACCUUUCGGGGCUUCGCGCUAAUGGAUGAGCCUAAGUCGGAUUAGCUUGUGGUGAGGUAAAGGCUCACCAAGGCGACGAUCCGUAGCUGGUCUGAGAGGACGAUCAGCCACACUGGGACUGAGACACGGCCCAG